GAGCCAGCUGUAGCUGUUAAAACCACAUGAAGGAAAACAUCCAGGUCAUGAAAUUACGAAUCACUUUCAGCUAAGAAAGCAGGCUUAAGAAACAAAAACGUUUGCCGCAAUUGUCAGAACUGAAUGACUAGCAAAAGGCAUUGAAGACCUUGGGGAGAUGGGGGAAGGGAGAGAGGAGCAUUAUCUAUUAAUGCAAAUAAAAAGAAAAAGAUAAAUGGUUAGCAUGAAAAACUUUUUACGCUAUUUGGGUUUAUCCUGUCCUACAAAAAUGAUCCUCAUCAAUUUCACGUGCACAUGCGUCCUUCAAUGCUGUGCAGGAACUUUCUCGUCAGGAAUGCCGUGUGCAUCUCAGAGCGCCAUAGCAUUCACAACGGUAAAGUAUAAGAUGCAGAGCAUUAAAUAAACAAAUUGCACGCAAGCUUGAUGGCCAUUAUUGCUGUGCGACAAGAUAAAUCCUAAAGGGUGUAAAAUUUUUUUAAGGUGUAGUCGUUUUGUGUUGAGCUGACCAGCCAGCCCAACAAAAGGUAAGUGACCAUGCGCAAGAACAGAAACAUUGCACAUUUCAGAAUAUGCAACAAUCUUACCUUAAAAGUAAAAGCACAUCAAUAUAGUAACCAGUCACAGCAAAAGAACAAGAAGCAGUUCACUUCUCCUUACAAGCAUAGAUCACCUUUUAAACAAAUCACAUACAACAUAAAAUAUAAACGCAUGUCGUUGUACAAAACCAUGUUCAUUGUCCUUUGGUGACCUAGCCUCGAAGGAUUCUAAAUGGCUUGCAGACAAAACAGCAACCAAAUCUUUCAUGUGAGCAAACAAGCAAAGAAAAAGGGGAUGCAGUACAUGUAUUACGUGAAAAGUACCAAUCCUCUUCAAUGUUUUUAACCCAACACUAGCGUGCCCAGAUGCAGUUUCCAUAUUUGUGUGCUGCCACAAUGUGGAUCAACAUGAGAAAAACAAACAAGCCAACAGUACUUUAGGGCCAUCCUAAACGUUGUCUUAAUACCACAGCAUAAAAAAAUCAGGUGGUGCUAUUGGGUCGAAACCCAAGAUUCACAGAGCAGGCACCUUAUUGCAGUGUGUUUGUAACACAUUAAGACAAACUAGAUAUGCAACUACUGGAUAUCGGCACAUAUUUUACUUCAUUUCCUUCAAUACCUUGGAUUAAACACAAUCCAAAGAGUAUUUCCAAUUCUAAAAGCCAAGAUUGAGUACUUCUUUACCAAACAGCCUCCGACGCAACAUGACUCCAGCCACUGCACGAAUUGAUAACGCGGCAAGUGCCAACACAAAUGAAACAAGUGCAGGUAUUGAUUAACAGAAGAUUAAGAUUAAGCCAACAAAGUAUGCAGCUAACAAUGGCAAACCAACUCUCUUUCCCGUAAUCACACAAGAGGCAGAUUUUUUUUUUUACUUCUAAUUUGGCACAUGUGGUCAUUAUGCUAAACACAAAGCAUCGUAAUUCUUUUUCUGA
rnacentral:lncRNA from 1 species